UCCCUCGUAGUUCAGUGGUAGAACGGUAGACUGUUAAUCUGCUUGUCGUUGGUUCGAAUCCAGCCGAGGGAGCCA
rnacentral:tRNA from 1 species